UUUCCGUAGGUGAACCUGCGGAAGGAUCAUUAAAAUUAUAGGGCCCAGGCCCUCUGGGAGGGGGUCUUCUAUGUUACCGUGUGGGUAGUAUACCUUCGUUGCUUUAGCAGUACUGCCCUCGGGCGGCGGGCUCCGGCCGGCCUGCGUGUGCCCGAGGACGUAAAACCUGUUUGGGUAGGAAGUUUGAGUACUAUAUAAUAGGUAAAACUUUCAAUAACGGAUCACUUAGAUCUAGCACCUAUGAAGAACGAAGCCGAGGGGAAUGGCACACGGCUGAAC
rnacentral:misc_RNA from 1 species